CCUCUUUCUCGUCUCCAGUCAGUUCAGAUGAGAUGUCAGUUAGUUGUUGAUGUUCAGCUCAAGACUCAACAUGAUCAGAACCCUCUUACUCGGUUGGCUCUCUUAGUGUUCUGAUCAUAGAGAUCUGAUCAUGGAAUUCCCAACACUUCAU
rnacentral:lncRNA from 13 species